AAGUAGGGGAGAAAGCACAUUCCAGGGAAGAGAUUUUAGAUGGACAAAUUACAUUUAGAAGCUUUUAACGGAGUACCUGGCUUGUGAUAAGUGCUCAAUAAAAGCUAAUGCUACGAAGAUAGGCCAAGAAGGAUAAGUUGGGUCCACAACCAGGGGCUGUCAGAAGAUUGGUCUGAUUGAUAAUGGGGGUGUGGCAGAGAGUGGAGGAGGGUGGAGAAGCUGAUGGCAGAAAGAUCCUCUGGGACCUUGGUAUUCAGACACAGAAUAAACGACUUCACUCAGUGAUGGAAAAGAAUGACAGGCUUUGAGAACCUACUCCCAGGGGAGGGUAAAUGAAUCACAUAGCAUCAUACCUUGUACUCAAAGGAUGAAUGAAUGAGUAUGAUACAGUGGAAAGGCCGUGGAAUUUGGAGGGGACAGCAUUCAUCCCCUCUGUAGGAUGCUUCCCCAAGGCACCAUCUUGGUCACAGAGGAACUGAGCCCUCAUCACCUGCCCCCUGGAUCUUUGAA